UAAUACGGAGGAUCCGAGCGUUAUCCGGAUUUAUUGGGUUUAAAGGGAGCGUAGAUGGAUGUUUAAGUCAGUUGUGAAAGUUUGCGGCUCAACCGUAAAAUUGCAGUUGAUACUGGAUGUCUUGAGUGCAGUUGAGGCAGGCGGAAUUCGUGGUGUAGCGGUGAAAUGCUUAGAUAUCACGAAGAACUCCGAUUGCGAAGGCAGCCUGCUAAGCUGCAACUGACAUUGAGGCUCGAAAGUGUGGGUAUCAAACAGGAUUAGAUACCCUGGUAGUCCACACGGUAAACGAUGAAUACUCGCUGUUUGCGAUAUACGGCAAGCGGCCAAGCGAAAGCGUUAAGUAUUCCACCUGGGGAGUACGCCGGCAACGGUG
rnacentral:rRNA from 1 species